GACGUGGUGGCGCAGUGGUUAAGCGUUCUUGACUUGGGACUGAAAAGUCCUGAGUUCAAGUCCUUGCCACGGCU